rnacentral:misc_RNA from 1 species
UACCCUUUGUGAAUUUGUUUGUUUUAUUAUGUGUCUUUCCCUGGUUUUGAUGGAGCUUGUUAAAAGCAAAGUCAAUCCAGGGGAAUGGCAAGACUUUUUUUUAAAUUAAACUUUUUGUAUUCAUUUGUCUAAAAUUAUUUUUAUAAUAUAAAAACAACUUUUGACAAUGGAUCUCUUGGUUCUCGCAACGAUGAAGAACGCAGCAAAAUGCGAUAAGUAGUGUGAAUUGCAGAAUACGUGAAUCGUCGAAUCUUCGAACGCAUAUUGCACUUUUUUGGUUUACCAAAAAAGUAUGUCUGUUUGAGUAUCAGUAAAAUAUUCUCAUAAAAACUAUUUGUUUUUAUGGUUAUGAGUGUUUUACAACGAUAAACAAGUUGUUUCACUUUAAAUUCUUUGACUUGUAAAAAAUCAUUAAAAACUGAUUUUUUUUAAAAUUGGAUAAAAUUUUCCCGUAAAAAGGAAUAACCUAAACAAUUUUAAUAAUUAAUUAGUUUGAUUUUUUAAAAGAUCUUAAAGGAAAAAAGUAAAAAUUAACUUGAUCUCAAAUCAGAUAAGAGUACCCGCUGAACUUAAGCAUAUCAAUAAGCGGAGGAAAAGAAACUAACUAGGAUUCCCUCAGUAACGGCGAGUGAAGCGGGAAGAGCUCAAAUUUGAAAUCUUCAAGGUUCUACCUUGACGAAUUGUAGUUUAAAGAAGUGUUUUCUGUUGGAGUUUUGGUAAAAGUUCUUUGGAAUAGGACAUCAUAGAGGGUGAGAAUCCCGUAUUUGACCAUUAUUUCCAACUUUGUGAUAUACUUUCAAAGAGUCGGAUUGUUUGGGAAUGCAGUCCAAAAUGGGUGGUAAAUUUCAUCUAAAGCUAAAUACUGGCGAGAGACCGAUAGCGAACAAGUACCGUGAGGGAAAGAUGAAAAGAACUUUGAAAAGAGAGUUAAACAGUACGUGAAAUUGUCAAAAGGGAAGCGUUUGACACCAGUGUUGUUUUCUCGAAAAUCAAUUAAAAAUGGUGGGAUUUGUGUUGUAUUGACUUUAUCAGCUUUCUGCACUUUUUCCUGUCCUUUUUAAUGCACUUUUCGUUUAACAAGUCAACAUCAAUUUCUUUUGCUGUAAAAGGUCAUUGGAAGGUGGCUUUCUUUUCGGAGAAAGUGUUUAUAGCCUUUGACUCUGCAGUCGGAGAGAUUGAGGUCUGCAGCGUAGAUCCUUCGGGUUAGAUACAUUUGUGCUAAGCUAUAGCCUUUCAUAGACAACUUGUUGACUAUGAUCAGUCAUGUAGCUUACUCGCUUAUGCUAUUUUACCUACGCUUAGGAUGUUGAG